AAAAUAAAAGGCCUCUUUCAAACUAACCCCUAUGGUGAGUAUAAUUUAAUUAAAGAAUAUUAAUUAUUGAUGGGUUUGGCAAAUUAAAUUUUUAAAAUUUUAUGUGUGAGUAGUUGAAUGUAUGUAUAUGUACCAUGUGCUUACAUGGUAUAUGAGGAGGCCAGAAGAAGGUGUCUGAUCACCUGGAGCUGAAAUUACAGAUGGUUGUGGGCUGCCUGAUGUGGGCCUUGGGAACUGAACCUGGGUCCUCUGCAAGAGCAGCAAGUGAUCUUAAAUGCUGAACCAUCUCUCCAGUGCCUUGACAAUCAAAUUUAACCAUCCAUAUGGAAAUGCAAAGGACUUUUAAUACAGUUACUUCAUUUUAGAUAAAGAACAAAGUUGGGGGACUAUGCUGUCUGAUCUUAUGGUCACUAGAAAUCUUAGUAAACAAGAGUGCAUGAUGUUAUUGUGUAGACAAGGGUCCAAAUCGGGGGACAAUUUAGGACCUACCCACAUGUGGUCAGGUUAGUUGAGUUUCAGCAUUCUAGAAAGUUAAAUGAACAAUUGAACUACCAUAGAUUAAAGGUGGCAAAGUCAUUUUAAACAAUGACGCUAGAACCACUAGUUCCUAGUAGAGGCAACUAUAAAUCUCAAACUUACAUUCUAUACCAUACAUAGAAGGCAACUCAAGAUGGGUCAUUAAUUUCAAUCCAAAGUUUAUAGCUACAAAAUCCCUGGAAGCAAAUGGAAGAUGAAAACUUACCCAAAGGAUAAAAAUUCCAUCCAAAUUAACAUCUUCUCUUCUGUCCCUUGAAAGAUACUGUUAAUAAAAUAAAAAAGGAAAGCUGUAAAGCAGGAUGGAGAGGGGGGCAAAAUUUGUUGUUUUUUUUUUUUAAGAUUUGUAUUCAAAGUAAAAAUCUUUCAUGUGUUGGGGAUGAGGGAGGAAAGAGAAAAGGAGGAGGAGGAACAGGAAAAGGAGGAGGAGAAACAGGAAGAGGAAGACGAAAGAAGCAGUAGAAGCCAACACACAGGAAAUGGACUCCCUCAGUAGUAAACAUGGAAAUAAAAGGAUUUAUACAAUUAUUGGCUUUCACAAGCACCGAGGCCGACUGUCUGCAGAUACCAACUACCCUGCUGCUAAGGCGAUGGCUUAGGAGAUCAGCAAUCCCCACCUACGAGCCAGAUACCCAAUGGAUCUAUUCUCUGCUCCUUCAGCCAAGCACCUACCCUUGUAGCCGGCUCCUGGAGCCCUUGCCAGGUUCCUGCCAUCCCUAGGUCCAGUAGCCUGCAGGGGAGACCUAGAUGGCACCGAGCACUAGGGCUUCGCCGGCUGCAUCCCUGCACGUGCACACAGGUCAUCUGGAUGUCAUUGUCGCUGCGGUUCCCCAGCUGUGGGUUUGCAUUCUCUUCCCCGCCUGCACGGACCUACAAGUGCUGAAGCACCUCCACUCGGUGGACCUGUACCCCUACAACUCCACUUCUGGGGGAGAUUCUCCAGAUACUUCAUUCCCUGGCUACAUGAACCCCAUAAAGAAUGGGCUUUAUCAAAAAAAAAAAAAAAAAGUAACGAAAAGGGCCUUGAGGAUAUUUAAUUGGAGCAGGAGAAACUGCUGGGUAAAGGGCUACAUUUUUGUUGAAGAGUGCGUGGGCUGCCUGUGAGGUUUGGGGCAGUUUAGUCUUUUCCUAAAGAAGCUAAAACAAGAG
ensembl:lncRNA